UACAGAGGGUGCAAGCGUUAAUCAGAAUUACUGGGCGUAAAGCGUGCGUAGAUGGUUAUUUAAGUCAGGUGUGAAAGCCCCGGGCUCAACCUGGGAAUUGCAUUUGAGACUGAAUAGCUAGGGUGCGGAAGAGGGAAGCGGAAUUUCCGGUGUAGCGGUGAAAUGCGUAGAUAUCGGAAGGAACACCAGUGGCGAAAGCGGCUUCCUGGUCCAGCACCGACGUUCAGGCACGAAAGCGUGGGGAGCAAACAGGAUUAGAAC
rnacentral:rRNA from 1 species